rnacentral:rRNA from 1 species
UGAGGGAUAUUGGUCAAUGGGCGCAAGCCUGAACCAGCGACGCCGCGUGGGUGAAGAAGGUCUUCGGAUCGUAAAGCCCUUUUCCCACUGAAGAGGAAGGACGGUAGGUGGGGAAGAAGUUUCGGCUAACUACGUGCCAGCAGCCGCGGUAAAACGUAGGAGACAAGCGUUAUCCGGAGUUACUGGGCGUAAAGGGCGUGCAGGUGGCGUCUUAAGUCUGUUGUGAAAGCGCCUGGCUUAACCGGGCGAGGCCAAUGGAGACUGAGAAGCUGGAGGACGGCGGAGGGGUGUGGAAUUCCGGGUGUAGUGGUGAAAUGCGUAGAGAUCCGGAGGAACACCAGAGGCGAAGGCGGCACUCUAAGCCGUACCUGACACUGAGACGCGACAGCGCGGGGAGCAAACG